rnacentral:rRNA from 1 species
CUCUCGGCAACGGAUAUCUCGGCUCUCGCAUCGAUGAAGAACGUAGCGAACUGCGAUACUUGGUGUGAAUUGCAGAAUCCCGUGAACCAUCGAGUCUUUGAACGCAAGUUGCGCCCGAAGCCAUUUGGACGAGGGCACGUUUGCCUGGGUGUCA